ACUCAAAGGAAUUGACGGGGGCCCGCACAAGCAGCGGAGCGUGUGGUUUAAUUCGACGCAACGCGUAGAACCUUACCAGGGUUUGACAUCGCCAGGCAAAGGGCGGAAACGUCCUCCCCGCGCAAGCGGCCUGGGGACAGAUGCUGCAUGGCUGUCGUCAGCUCGUGCCGUGAGGUGUUGGGUUAAGUCCCGCAACGAGCGCAACCCUCGGGGGUAGUUACCGUGUCUACCCCGACUGCCGCGACAAACGCGGAGGAAGGUGGGGAUGAUGUCAAGUCAGCACGGCUCUUACAUCCUGGGCUACACACACGCUACAAUGGACGCGACAAUGGGCGUGCCAAGCCGCAAGGCGGAGCGAAUCCCAGCAAAGGCGUCCUCAGUUCAGAUCGGCGUCUGCAACCCGACGCCGUGAAGGCGGAGUUGCUAGUAACCGCAGGUCAGCACACUGCGGUGAAUACGUUCCCGGGCCUUGUACACACCGCCCGU
rnacentral:rRNA from 1 species